rnacentral:rRNA from 1 species
UACAGAGGUGGCAAGCGUUGUUCGGAAUUACUGGGCGUAAAGGGCGCGUAGGCGGCCAUCUAAGUCAGACGUGAAAUCCCCCGGCUUAACCUGGGAACUGCGUCUGAUACUGGACGGCUUGAGUUUGGGAGAGGGAUGCAGAAUUCCAGGUGUAGCGGUGAAAUGCGUAGAUAUCUGGAGGAAUACCGGUGGCGAAGGCGGCCUGCUGGGCAGUAUAGCUGACACUGAGGCGCGACAGCGUGGGGAGCAAACAGG